GGGUUGUGAGGUUAAGCGACUAAGCGUACACGGUGGAUGCCCUGGCAGUCAGAGGCGAUGAAGGACGUGCUAAUCUGCGAUAAGCGCCGGUAAGGUGAUAUGAACCGUUAUAACCGGCGAUUUCCGAAUGGGGAAACCCAGUGUGACUCGUCACACUAUCAUUAACUGAAUCCAUAGGUUAAUGAGGCGAACCGGGGGAACUGAAACAUCUAAGUACCCCGAGGAAAAGAAAUCAACCGAGAUUCCCCCAGUAGCGGCGAGCGAACGGGGAGGAGCCCAGAGCCUGAAUCAGCAUGUGUGUUAGUGGAAGCGUCUGGAAAGGCGCGCGAUACAGGGUGACAGCCCCGUACACAAAAGCGCAUAUGCUGUGAGCUCGAUGAGUAGGGCGGGACACGUGGUAUCCUGUCUGAAUAUGGGGGGACCAUCCUCCAAGGCUAAAUACUCCUGACUGACCGAUAGUGAACCAGUACCGUGAGGGAAAGGCGAAAAGAACCCCGGCGAGGGGAGUGAAAAAGAACCUGAAACCGUGUACGUACAAGCAGUGGGAGCACCCUUUGGGGUGUGACUGCGUACCUUUUGUAUAAUGGGUCAGCGACUUAUAUUCUGUAGCAAGGUUAACCGCAUAGGGGAGCCGGAGGGAAACCGAGUCUUAAUUGGGCGUUAAGUUGCAGGGUAUAGACCCGAAACCCGGUGAUCUAGCCAUGGGCAGGUUGAAGGUUGGGUAACACUAACUGGAGGACCGAACCGACUAAUGUUGAAAAAUUAGCGGAUGACCUGUGGCUGGGGGUGAAAGGCCAAUCAAACCGGGAGAUAGCUGGUUCUCCCCGAAAGCUAUUUAGGUAGCGCCUCGUGAAUUCAUCUCCGGGGGUAGAGCACUGUUUCGGCUAGGGGGCCAUCCCGGCUUACCAACCCGAUGCAAACUGCGAAUACCGGAGAAUGUUAUCACGGGAGACACACGGCGGGUGCUAACGUCCGUCGUGAAGAGGGAAACAACCCAGACCGCCAGCUAAGGUCCCAAAGUCAUGGUUAAGUGGGAAACGAUGUGGGAAGGCCCAGACAGCCAGGAUGUUGGCUUAGAAGCAGCCAUCAUUUAAAGAAAGCGUAAUAGCUCACUGGUCGAGUCGGCCUGCGCGGAAGAUGUAACGGGGCUAAACCAU
rnacentral:rRNA from 1 species